UGGGGAAUAUUGCACAAUGGGGGAAACCCUGAUGCAGCGACGCCGCGUGAACGAAGAAGGUAUUCGUAUCGUAAAGUUCUGUCCUAUUGGAAGAUAAUGACAGUACCAUAGAAGAAAGCUCCGGCUAAAUACGUGCCAGCAGCCGCGGUAAUACGUAUGGAGCGAGCGUUGUCCGGAAUUAUUGGGCGUAAAGGGUACGCAGGCGGUUUAAUAAGUCGAAUGUUAAAGAUCGGGGCUCAACCCCGCAAAGCAUUGGAAACUGAUAAACUUGAGUAGUGGAGAGGAAAGUGGAAUUCCUAGUGUAGUGGUGAAAUACGUAGAUAUUAGGAGGAAUACCAGUAGCGAAGGCGACUUUCUGGACACAAACUGACGCUGAGGUACGAAAGCGUGGGGAGCAAACAGG
rnacentral:rRNA from 1 species